AGGAGACCUCCGGCCUUGAGGGGCAGUGGGGCCAGGGCCGCAAUGCCACUGGAGGAGACUUUUCUCCCUGGGCUAAGCUCUCCUCUCUUUCUCUACAAUUCCUCCCCUGGGCUGUGCACUGGGGGGGGGGGGAGCCCUCUAGAGUCAGACCCUACUGAAGAGACAGAGGCACCUGGGGACGGUCUGUGCAUGGUCCAGGCUUGGCCAAGCACAGAGAGCGCCUAGAUCUUCCACCUCUCUGCUUCCUGGCAGCUCUCCCUCCAAACUGUGCCCUCCUUUGCUCCUUCCCUGCCUAGAACAGCUUCAGGGGUCUGGCUAGAUUUCACUUUCUCCAUGAUGUCUAUUUUCUCCUAUUCAGUCUCCAAAUUCAUUCAUUCUUUCAGGCGUGCCCCUGUGCAGUCAGUCACCCCUGUUUAUUGAUUGUCUACUCUCUGCCAGGCACUGUGCAGGACUCCCACAUCCACCUCCA
rnacentral:lncRNA from 1 species